rnacentral:rRNA from 1 species
AGUUGGUAAGGUAACGGCUUACCAAGGCGACGAUGUUUAGGGGACCUGAGAGGGUUGUCCCCCACACUGGUACUGAGACACGGACCAGACUCCUACGGGAGGCAGCAGUGAGGAAUAUUGGUCAAUGGGCGCAAGCCUGAACCAGCCAUCCCGCAUGAAGGAAGAAUGCGCUACGCGUUGUAAACUUCUUUUCCAGGGGGAGAAUAAUCCUGUCGUGACAGGACUUGACGGUACUCUGGGAAUAAGCAUCGGCUAACUCCGUGCCAGCAGCCGCGGUAAUACGGAGGAUGCGAGCGUUAUCCGGAUUUAUUGGGUUUAAAGGGUGCGUAGGCGGAUUGAUAAGUCAGUGGUGAAAUUCUACAGCUUAACUGUAGACUUGCCGUUGAUACUGUUAGUCUUGAGUGUGGUCAAGGCAGGCGGAAUGUGUAAUGUAGCGGUGAAAUGCUUAGAUAUUACACAGAACACCGAUUGCGAAGGCAGCUUGCUGGGUCAUUACUGACGCUGAUGCACGAAAGCGUGGGGAUCAAACAGGAUUAGAUACCCUGGUAGUCCACGCCGUAAACUAUGAUCACUCGCUGUUGGCGAUACACAGUC